rnacentral:rRNA from 1 species
UGCCAGCAGCCGCGGUAAUACGGAGGGAACUAGCGUUGUUCGGAAUCACUGGGCGUAAAGCGCUCGUAGGCGGACUGAUCAGUCAGAGGUGAAAUCCCGGGGCUCAACUCCGGAACUGCCUUUGAUACUGUCAGUCUAGAGUUCGGAAGAGGUAAGUGGAAUUCCUAGUGUAGAGGUGAAAUUCGUAGAUAUUAGGAGGAACACCAGUGGCGAAGGCGGCUCACUGGCUCGAUACUGACGCUGAGGUGCGAAAGCGUGGGGAGCAAACAGGAUUAGAUA